UACGUAGGGACCGAGCGUUGUCCGGAUUCAUUGGGCGUAAAGAGCUCGUAGGCGGCUGCUCAAGUCGAAUGUGAAAACUCGAGGCUCAACCUCGAGCCUGCAUUCGAUACUGGGCGGCUAGAGUCUGGUAGGGGGAUCUGGAAUUCCUGGUGUAGCGGUGGAAUGCGCAGAUAUCAGGAGGAACACCGGUGGCGAAGGCGGGAUCCUGGGCCAGUACUGACGCUGAGACGCGAAAGCGUGGGGAGCGAACCGG
rnacentral:rRNA from 1 species